CGGGGCAUCCCGGAGGCAGGAAAGGCUUCGGCCGGACAGGGAUGGGCAUGCGGCGCAUUAGGCAGUAGGCGGGGUAACGGCCCACCUAACCGACGAUGCGUAGGGGUUCUGAGAGGAAGGUCCCCCACACUGGUACUGAGACACGGACCAGACUCCUACGGAAGGCAGCAG
rnacentral:rRNA from 1 species